UGGCCCUUUGAAACUGUGAAGUGCUCCCUCCAUCCUUUCACCCAAGCCGGGGAGAGGAGGAGGAGGAGGAGGGGGACUCACAGCCUCUCCCCCUCCGCCAGACGCGCCUCCUCUCUGGGUCACAUCAUCGUGUCGGUCUCCGCCCCGCUGCUCCCAUCAUCACACAUCCACCAGGCGAAGCAAACAGGAGGAAUACAAGAAACCAUGAAGGACCGCAUCCAGGAACUUAAACAUGGGAAGGAGACGACAGAGGAGGAGGAUGAAGUGACAGUGGGGAUGGAUAAAGGCUUUAUGGAUGAAUUCUUUGAACAGGUAGAAGAGAUCCGGGGUUUUAUCGAGUCUCUGGCAGAGAAAGUUGAAGAGGUGAAGAGGAAGCACAGCGCCAUCCUUGCCUCACCUAACCCGGAUGAGAAGACUAAAGCUGAUCUUGAGGAUCUAAUGGCAGACAUCAAGAAACUGGCCAAUAAAAUACGCUCCAAAUUAAAGAGUAUCCAGCAAACCAUUGAGCAAGAAGAAGGGCAGAACCGGUCAUCGGCUGACCUCAGGAUACGUAAAACACAGCACUCUACACUGUCCCGCAAAUUUGUCGAAGUGAUGUCGGAAUACAACACCACCCAGUCGGACUACAGGGAGCGCUGCAAAGGACGCAUUCAGAGGCAGCUGGAGAUCACUGGCAGAAACACAACAAACGAGGAGCUGGAGAGCAUGUUGGAGAGCGACAACCCAGCCAUCUUUACCUCGGGGAUAAUAAUGGACAACAUCACCCAGCAGGCCAUGAAUGAGAUCGAGACGCGGCACAAUGAGAUCAUCAAGCUGGAGAACAGCAUCAGAGAGCUCCACGACAUGUUCAUGGACAUGGCCAUGCUGGUGGAGAGCCAGCUUUGCUCUCUCUGUCCCUUCUCUCUUUGUUUUCUCCUGUUUCAUUUUUGCAACGCCUCACAAAUCUGUCACCAUCCCAAUGACUCUAAGCUCUAAAGAACAGAGAAAGCUGCUAUUCUAAUGCCACAAGGGCGGGCUGGUGGAUAACAUCGAGCGUGGUGUUGUGGAGGCCCAGGAGUAUGUGGAGGGAGCAAAGGAGCGCAUCCCAAAAUGCAAAAGAAGUUGAUCCUGGUAGGAGGUUGUGUAGCAUUCUGUCUGACCGUCCUCAUUGUGUCCCUCUCAGUGGGACUCAGUUAGGACCCUGAUGUCUCCUCUCAGGACCAACAGGAACUGUGUGAUGGGCAGUAGCGUCCAAUGUGCAUACAAAGUUUUAACUGAGCACCCAGGAUGUGUUCAACUUUAGAAUAUAGUUUUAAAUUCUUAAAUGAUCAAGAACUUCAGGAAACGGUGUUACUGUUCUUUGUCUGGUUCUGCGUUUCUUUUUUAUGUAAUGUUUUGUCUUGUGCAUGUUGUACGUUGCAUGUCCUCUCACUGAAGAAACGUGGUCGUUUUUAAGCUCUUUGUAAAAAAAAAUUGCCUGACAAGAUUUUUGCAGAACUUUAUUGAAUUUGUUGCUUUUACCUGUUUUUACCACUAGAGGAAGGCAAAAUGAAUGUUUUCUUGGGAAACGACAAUGAAUCAUGUCAGAGGCAGAGGGAGUUCUAUAUCAUGAAACCUAAUGAUAAAAACAAAUUUAAUAGAAUCUAAUCAAACAAGUUGGAUGCAAAUGUUCACUUCUGAAUUAGGAUGAAAACCAUAAGUAUAAAAACUGUUAUAACCUGCAUUUGUUGUAAAAGUGUACAGCUUGGUUGUAAAUUUAUUUGUUUUAGCAACUCAUUUGUAAAAAAAAAUCUAUAGAAAUGGGUCUAUUUUUAAGUCCUCUGAGUUCUCUCUGCCUCUUUUAUUAAAUUUUUUUUAUAUAGUAGAAGGCUGGAGCACUCAGGUUAAUGUAAAGACGCCUUUGUUGAAAUUUGAACUUUGAACCGAGUGCUCCAGCCUUCUACUUCAGUUGUUGGUCCUAGCUGUUGAGAACCGGUGCUCAGUUUGAUGAAGCGCAGAGUGCCUGUUUACUCCUAUUUUCAUUUACAUCUGCUGGUGUGAAAUGAACAAAAUGCAGAAACAGAAAUGUUAAAAAAUUGCUUGAGCAAAAACAUCUAGUCACACUCGAGCUUCUUCAAAACUGCAUUUUGUUCUGAAAAUUAACCAAAUGUCUUUUCUGAUGUGUUCUUUUUUCCCCUCUGAUCUGCUGCGUGGGAUGCUUCUUUUAUGUUUGUUUGUUUUUUGUUUUUUGCCCUGCAGAAGAAAAUUAUGAUCAUAAUAUGCUGUGUGAUUCUGGGAAUUGUCAUUGCUUCCAUAGUUGGAGGAACUCUGGCUUAAACUUCUACAGUCACGCAGCCACACACACACACACACACACACACACACACACACAUACACGCGCACACACUUGUAUUUACAUUUUUUUGUGGACCUCCAUUGGCUUCCAUUCAUUUUAGUGACUCCACUAUGCCUAUGCCUAUACCCUAACCCUACCAUAACCAAUGGGGUUCUAUUCCUAACCGUUACCUGAACCAAUCUGACCUAAAGGUUUAUUCAUACCAUGCCUCUAAAACCAAGUUUCAGGAUGCUCAGCAUUGUGUGGACCAGUUAAAGUCUAAAUUUGUCCACUUAAACAUAUAAAGACACACACACAUACACACACACACAGACACACACACACACACUUUCAGUUUCCCAUUUAAAUAAAUGCAAUCCUAGAACAUGUUUAGCACAAGAUGCGCCGCCUAAUGUCCGACGCAUCGUCUAACACACCCUGUACAGGGCCAGAGGUGUUCUCGCAUGAGUUGCUAUUUUGUAAACGUGUGGUGCUGCAAAUCGUUCCUCUGAGUGUUGUCAAGAACAUGAUGUUUUUUUGUUUAGUUUUGUUUUCUGAAUGGGAAAGUUACAAACCAAUGUGUAAUGCUAUACUGAAACAUUCCAACUGGCAGAAAUGGCACUGAUUUGUUUGUAAUGUCUGUUUUUGUGUCAAACAGACAGUGACAGGUCACUCAUCUGCAGUGUUUUUACAGCCGUGUUAUUUGAUUUUUUUGGUUGUGAUUUAGUUUUGUAUUCAUAACCUGAUUUCAGACGCCCUGCAUGGUUUUAGUGGUGUUUUGUAUUCAGAUGCAAAAAGGAAAACAACAAAAGAAAAGCAAAAACAAGCAUAGCUGUACUGAUGUUGGUGUCGAAUCAUCUAACUGCCAAACUUGUUUUCUCCUAUGUUUUAUUUAUCUUUCACUAGAUAACUGCAGCCGUUGUUUACUUCUGGUUUCACCUUUAAAACAGCAUGUUUCACUUCAUUUCCAGUGUUGAGUGCAGGCGCGCAGUUAGGGUGGGGGACGGGGGGGAUCUGUCCCCCCCAGAUUCAGAUGAACCUCAAUCCGUCCCCCGCACUAAGGCCAGAAAGAAAACAAAAUCGGAGGUUAAGCGCUUGAAUCUCCUUUUUCCAAUUACAUUGAACACAGCAUGAUGUAAACAAACACUUAACUCCAGAGACGCCAAAGUGGGUGCUGCUAGGAUGCAGGAUGAAGCGAAAAAGGCAACGAUUACUGCAUAUUUUAAAAAGACCAACAGUGUAAGUAGGCGGGACCGAUCUGUCUGUUUAUGCAUGUUGGUUCUAGUUUCAGUACGUUGUUGUCGGUGUUGGGACUUACUCGUUAAAAGCGCCAAAGCCUCAUUGCUGACUUUAACAAGUCUCAUAUACAAAUAUGAUCUCUCAUGACGUUACUACUUUACACCAGAAGAUAGUGGAGAUGUGGAACCUUCAGGCUGAGCAAAGUUUGGGAGUUUUUAGAGUAAGAAAAAUGACUCCCGCCGAGAGGCUCCCCGUGGGGGAAGAGCGCAAAUAUUAGAUAAAACGUAUAAUUGCCGGCAGGUCUGGUCUUUGUUGACUGAUCACUUUGUCUGGUCAUGACUGACUCUGAUUAUGAAGCAGAAUAUUGACUCUGAUGAAGAAAUUCACUCAUCCAGCCAGGAAGAUUUAUACUGCUGCAGCAUCAAACAGCUGGUGCUGCAGGAGAGGUGUGUGGAGUUUACAAGCUCCAAACGUUGGGUUUGAUGUUUGUUUAACCUUCUUUGGGACACGUUGGAUGUAGAAAGGAUGGUAAAAACACUGCUAAUGGGAUAGACGUAGCGACAAUGUUAAAAAAAAGCCGUAAAAGGAGGCAGAUGCCGAUGCGUUAAAUAUGGAAGUCAAAGUGUGCCACAUAAUAAUAACAAAAGUAAAAUAUAAAAUUUAAAAAUAGCUUUAUAUAUUUAUAUAUAAAUUAAAACUUUCCAAAUAUAAUGAAAAUUUCUAAAUAACGUAAGAAUACGAAGGAACAUCUGUUGGUCAGGCCGAAAAGUUUGGGAACCACUGCUCUAACUAGGGUUGGGCAUCGAGCAUCGAUUGGAACCGGUUCCAGCUGUUAGUUUUUCCCAGAAUCAUUCAAAGUUUUUUAUUUCGAUUCCUAGUUUCAAUUCCUAGAAUGCCGACGGAAGAGGAUUCUGCCGCCGAUCUCCGUGAAAAAUAAACGUGAUCUGCAAAUUGUGAUCAACGCUUUUCAGAGCUGAUCACACCAGCUGUCUGUCUGCAGCACCGAGUCCUCCCUCCCCCCACCCAGAUACGCGUCUGCCGAACUAUUACUCUGUAGUAAACUGUAACUCUUGCAGCGUAGAGGAAACGUGUUAAAAUACGUCAACACGGUGGAUUUACAGUUUUUCUCCAUUGGUUUGGCUCAUUUCUUGAAACAGAAAUUACAUUCUCAAACCUCAAAGAUCAUUUGGCAAAACACUCUUUCAGUUUAGCACAACACUAUAGCUCACCUGCAAAAGCUCAUAUCUCUUCCAAAACUGUUCAGUCAGGCUUCAAUCUAAAUCCCUUUCUCAUUUAAACAGUCAGUGUCUCCAAAAUGGCAAAGAUCCUUCUCAAUAGCUUUGGCUCAUUUCUCAACACAGAUCGGGACAUUCUCAUCAUUCUUUGUGCUUUUGUCAAAAUAAGCCUGGAUGGUUGAUCACAACAACAUGGUUUACCUGCAAAAGCUCAAAUCUCUCCUAAAACAGUUCACUCAUGUGUCAAAACUACAUUUCUUUCUAAUCUUAAUAGUCGGUGCCCCCAAAAUGCACCGUGCCUUUGGCAUUGUGUGAGUACUGCCAUACAAAUGUUUAGAUGCUUUGUCACUAUGGCAGAGGACCAACAAUAUACAACCGAAAAGAGUAGCCUCCAAGGUUUAACAUCACAGAUUGCACUCACACCACCAAGGAAAUUAUAAACAUUUUUUAUUCACACGCAAAGAAAGUUUCAUACAUAUGUAAAAAGAAAAUGUACAUUACAGUAAUACAGUAAAUUGUAUGAACACAAAAUCAAAAAAACAAGGACGCAUUCAGUGGUCGCUGUACUCAUUCUCCUGCUCUUGUCCACUGUCUUCACCCUCCUGAUUAUUUACACGCUGUUGUCCGUCUGGCCACAGAUUCUUGUCCACAUCACAGCGGAUACUUCCCCUUGUCUGUUUGCUUGGCCUUGUCUAUCCAUGUUCAGAGAUUGGACUGGCGCUGGUCAGGCUCUAUAUAUCUGUGUUUGGCAGCACACGAUCAUGGAAAACACCUGUGUGUGUGUGACACUCCCCGUUCGUUAGUCUAGUUUCACCUGACUGUCAAUGACUGUCAUCAAUGUAUCAAAUAUUUAAAGAAAUUCAUAUAUUUUAUUCAUGGUUUCAUGUUCUUGACCAAUUCUGACAAUUGAACAGACAGUUGCGCACGUGAGUACUUACACAAUGAAAUCAUGCUAACGUGUUUUGGAGAGACAGAUCAUUAGACUGAGAAUCAACUAAUCAGUUUAGAUCUACAAGAUAUAUUCAUUUGGAAAAUGUGCUAAAUGUGGGCUAACUGUAUAACUGUAGGCUACAUGUACUUAAUCAUUUGCAAAGAUGCACUGAGACAAUUGAGACAUGUAUUCAGGCAUUUGCCAUUUCGAUAAAAAGAAACGAGAAAUGCCAUUCUCUUGUGAACAUUUGCCAAGAGGUUUGUCCAUGUUACUUUGAGAAUGUAAUUUCUGUUUCAAGAAAUGGGCCAAACCAAUGGAGAAAAACUAAUAGAAGCUUUAAAGAACAAACUCUGGGCGGUGUGAGGUGAGUUUUUCUCACUGCAGAAAUAAAAACAUACACAGAGCGUCAGCAGUCAGACGCAGCCGUUUACCAACACUCGUGUGUGUGUGUGUGUGUGUGUGUGUGUGUGUGUGUGUGUGUGUGUGUGUGUGUGUGUGUGUGUGUGUGUGUGUGUGCAGGGACGAAAUUUUGAUUUCAGAAGUGGGGGGGACACAGCAGGCUUGUGCGGAUUUGGGGUGGGGGGUGUUAUGUAAAGACCCCUUGACACGUCACGUGCCCAUCUCAAUAAUUUUUCCAUCCUCUAUAUAUAUAUAUAUAUAUAUAUAUCAAAGUUAAAAAAUGUACAACUCUAUUAUUAUUUUUAUUUAUUAUCAUUAUUGAAGUGCAGUUUUGGCUGUUGACAAUGGAUAGGCCAUUGUAUUUAUUGUUUUGGGUCUUUUUUAUUGAUUUUGGUGCAACAUUUUCUAACAGGGAGUGAGAUUCCUUUUUUAUUCAAUUUUUGUUUGUUAUUUUUAUUCAUUUAGAAGUUCUGGUUCUGGACAUUUCAAUGUUAAAUGAAGGUUUAUUUGUUGCAUUUUAAAGGGUGUACUUGCAUUAUUAUGAUAUAUUAACAUUAGAUUAGUGGUUAUUUUGGUCUAGAUAAUGUUGACAAUAUCGUUUAUCAUCAAUAAUUUGUUGGACAAAAUAUCGUCCAGCAAAAUUUGUUACAUUCCCAGGCCUAGUCAAAAGUAUAAAAAUUAUUUAUACAUAAACGGUCCCUCAUGAGAUCUGGCCGUUUGUUCAUUUGCUGUGUUAGAGGACAUGCUGAACUAAUGUUUUACACAUGAUCAUCACCCUAACAUUUGAGUGUAUAAAAACAUAUUAAAUAUGGUUUUUUCCCUUAAAAGUGUUUAAACAGUUGUUGCAUUUCAACACACAAAAAAUAAAUGGAAAAAAUAAGAUAAAUCUAAUGAAAAGUGUACAUCUUUGACAUUGGGGCGACGGUGGCACAGGAGUUAAGUGCUCGCCUCGCAAUCGGAAGGUCGCAGGUUCGAGACCCGCUCAGUCUGUCGCUGUCGUUGUGUCCUUGGGCAAGACACUUAACCCACAUUGCCUGCUGGUGGUGGUCGGAGGGACCGGUGGCGCCAGUGCUCGGCAGCCUCGCCUCUGUCAGUGCGCCCCAGGGCAGCUGUGGCUACAUCGUAGCUCAUCCCCACCAGUGUGUGAAUGUGUGUGUGAAUGGGUGAAUGACUGAUUGUGUUGUACAGUGCCUUGGGGGGUUCCAGGACUCUAGAAGGCGCUAUAUCAAAUACAGGCCAUUUAAGCUUAAAAAAAUCUGUUGACGAUGAUACUGUUCAUUUUUCAGAGCUUUUUAAUGUGAAAAUAUACAUUGCAAUAGAUAAGUUUACAAUAAAGUUAAAUGAUAAAAGUUUUGAAGUUACACUUCUACUACUACUAGUAAUAAUAAUUAUGAUGAUAAUAGUAAUAAUGAAAAAAUAAUUAUUAUAAUAAUACGAAUAAAUUGUGUCUGAGGAGUCAGUUAUGUGGAGGAGAUGAGUUUGUAAAAGUUAGUUUUGAGUAUGUUUGUGAAGGAGGAGGUGAGUCUGAGCUUAAUGCAGGGGUGUCACAUGUUCCAACUUACGUUUUGACUUUGAAAGAAGUCUCUUAUAUCCACUUUUCGUUUUCUUGACAUGCUGCCUCCUGGCUGUGCCUAACUACCAAAGACUCACAAAUGAACACUUAUUCAAAUGUUAUGUAAUGGAAGCUGAGCUGAGCUCUGAUAUUACACAGCGUCUAGUUGACGAUGUGACUCAGUACCGGUGUUCCCUAGCGGCUCCAAACUAGCAAAACAACGUGAGCACGUUCUGACUGUUUACAACUUGAGUGACAGCAGCAACAGCCAAUAAUACGUUAGCAAGUAUCAGCAGAGCCAAUAGAUUAGCUUUUGGGCGGGUCUAAUAGUAAACCGGUUUCCGUUUCGGUCCUAGUGCUCAACCAAAUCCAUUUAAUGGAGCGUAACAUUGUUUUUGGACGGAAAAAAGUGCAGGGGACCAAAACUGCCUUUUGAAAAAGUGGGGGGGACAUGUCCCACCCGUCCCCCCCCAAAAUUACGUCCCAGUGUGUGUGUGUGUGUGUGUGUGUGUGUGUGUGUGUGAGCGUCAGAAGGCUGAACAAUAACCUGUAGAAUAAUUAAAGUCAUCAUGCUAUAAAAGCUUUCUCUGUGGUGGACCACACCAGCUUCUGCCACAAUAAAUAAUAACAAUAAUAAAUCACAAUGGUGAACAUUUUAAUUUCCUUUCUGACCUAUUUCUGUUGAGAGUUUUAAUGUUUAAAAUCUGUUAGGUUGUUACUGACAGCAGCUACACUUAAGCUUCACUUCCUGUUCUGACUGAACGCUGCUGCAGCAUGGAGGUGUAGUUCUCAGUCAUCCUGGACAUGAUCAUCCUGAGAGUUUUAGCUGAAAACAGCUGGACGUUUCUGGAUAUGUUGGAGAUAUUUAGCCUCUCAUCCCAGAGGCUUCUUCCAUACUUUGGUUGUGGUCAGAAACAAACACACUGGUUGUGCUGCAAGUCUUUUUCUUUUUUUCUCCAAAACAUGUUUUUGUCUAAAUGAAGGUGAUUUUGUGGUUCAUAGAAUUAAAAUUCAUGUUGAAGUUAAGAUUAUUUCAUCAAGUAGGACCUGUGGUUAGCUGGCUCGUGUAAAACAUGCCAUGUCUUAAAAGAAUCGGAAUCGGGAAUUGAUAAGAACCGGAAUUGAAACAAGGAAUUGGAAUCGGAAUCGUUCAAAAUCAAACGAUGGCCAAUCCUAUGAGUGAGUAUUGUUUUUUAAAUAUAUUUUAUGUGCAGUUUUUUAGGGCUUUUAGGUUUUCUGUAAAGAUUGGUAUGCUGGAAAUCAUUUAAUGUUUUGCAUAAAGCAUGAGGUUUUGGUUAGUAAUUGAUUGGGAGGAUAACAAAUGACUGACUUGGAUAGUGUUGAUUAGGCAGAGCUUGUUGCCAGCGUUCCAUUGCACAAUGGCUUCAAACACAUAUAUAAAAUUGUUAGUUAUUUCGUAAACCAUUCAAUGGAAUUACACAAACUGACUGAGCUCUAGUUAAGGCUCUUGCAUAUCCAUAUUAUGGAGCUAGGAUUGGGACAAUAUUCAGCGUAACUUGUACCAAGUUUUGUAACUUCGAACAUGUUUCAUCACAUGUAACUGGAUUCGUAACUUGUAACUUUAGUUUUCUAACUUGUAAUUCUCAAUUCUUACUUGUAUUUCUUGUGAAACGUGAUUGGUAGCUAAGACUCGUGCUCUCAUUGGUUCCACCCAAGUUCCUCCCACUGACGCUAGAAUCGAGACAAAAAGAUCCGUAACUGUGGAUUUGAGGUUUGUACCUGUAGAAUGAAAUGUGUGUUUUUGAGAGUUUUGAUUUCAAACUUGUACCUUGAUUUUUUCAAUUUGGAAGUCUGCUAGUUACAAAACGAAAGUUUCAUGUUUCUGAAUGAAUGUUUGAUGUUACAAAAUGAGUAGUAAAUGUACAAAAUAAGUUUGAUUUUACAAAAUAAAAAAUACAUGUACAAAAUGAAAAUUUCCUGUUACAAAACAAGAAAUACAAGUACAAAUUGAGAAUUACAAGUUAGAAAACUAAAGUUACAAGUUACAAAUCCAAAGUUACAUGUGAUGAAACAUGUUCGAAGUUACAAAACUUGGUACAAGUUACGCUGAAUAUUGUCCCAAUCCUAGCUCCAUAUUGCAAUAGUUUGUGUAUGUGUAUGUGUACGUGCGUACGUGUGUGUGUAUAGUGGACCAUUCCCAUCUGUACCGGGUCGGCCCGGGCCGGGUAGCAUAGGUUGUUUACAUAUCUGGGUGGCCUGGUAUUUUUCCGGGCCAACCAAGGCUCAUUCUCAGCCCUCUUCUCGAGGGGGUCUGCUUCAGGCCGACCAGGGCCAACACACCCACUGCUGACAGCAAAUUCACACCUUCCAUUAGAGCAAGCCUCUGAUUGGUGGGUAGAAUCAGCCCAUUCACACCUUCCAUUAGAGCAAGCCUCUGAUUGGUGGGUAGAAUCAGCCCACAUGGGCUUAAGACAAGGAUGUGUGGAAUCAACCGGGCCAGGCUGGGGCGGACUGGGGCUACCCGGCCCGGGCCGACCCGGUACAGAUGGGAAUGGCCCAUAUGUGUUUGGGGGAGGGUACAUUGAAACUUUGUCCCCCCCAGUUUGAAAAUCCUAUCUGCGCCCCUGGUUGAGUGUGAGUUUGUGCAUGCACGGAUGUUUAAGAGCAGAUGUUCAACUGUAGCUAAUCGUCUGAGUGAAAACUGGAGUGUGUUGUUUUGUAUUGAAAAGCUCUCUAACACUGCCAAUAGUAAAAUGUUAAACAGAGUUUAAUCUGAUUGAAUUACUGAUUCUGUCUUAGUUUACGUCUUUUUUAAAAGAACCCUGAACUCUAAACGGUGCAAGAUGCUUCUUUGUUGAUGAACAUGAAGUCAGAGUUUUUAGGGACACAUCAGAUGUGCACAAACCGCGUUACCAUGUUGCCUACUUGACUUGUUGCCUUUGUGUUGUAUUGUGAUAACAUGGUUUCAUUUGUAACUGGGGUUUCUUUACAAAGUAAAAGUCUAUUUGGAAAGUCA